UCUCGCCCUCCGUGGGCCGCGCGGCCGGAGCUGGCACCGAGGAGCGGCGGCCGCGGCGGCAUCGCGUUCUGGACACGCCAGCGCCCCUCUGGACACGGCGUACACGAGCGCGCCCGGGGCGCGCGGAUCUGCCUUCCGUGGUCCGGGGCUGCUCGGGGGGCGUCCGGCGUUCCCCGAGGGCGGGCGUGUCCGCGCGGCGCCGGCCGGGGCGCGAGCGCGGGGCCGCAGCCUGUUGCAGUGCGGGGGGGCGCCGGGCUGGGGGCGCCAGGAGCCCUGCGGGGGGCCGCGCGGCCCGGCUCCCAGCGCAGAGCAGUUUUCUCCAACUCUCCACUUCCGUCUCCUCCGGGCCCACCGCUGCCGGGAGACCCCGUCCGGACCUGCCAAGAAAGGAGUAUGUCAUGAAAAAGGAACAGAAAAGACACGUCACUGUUGGUGAAAGGGGAGUUUUCUUUCCCAGUUGGUGGUUACUUCAUGAUUGGAAGAGAAGUACCUAGGUGGCUGAAGAGAUUAGAUUUUCAUAGCUGUACCGAUGAAGCUGAUAAAAGAAGAUGGGAAAAUGCUUUCUCUGGGUCAUAAUAGGCUGAUGAGUAAGUAAGCCUGAAAAAAGAUCUGAAAUGAGGACAGGAAUCUUGAGUGUUUUAAAACCAAGUAGGACUUUGAAUACUUGUUGAGGAUGUUUUUGCCCCAAAAAUGGAGGAAGAAAAAAUUCUCAAAGCAAAAAGUGUAAAAAGCUGAGAGGAGUAACAACCCAGUCAGCUCCAAGAAUUGCAGUACUUUGUCAGCUUCUCUGAGCACACACAGGCAAAGGCAUCAGACACGUAUGAUGAUGGUUUCCUGCUCCAGGAAUGACUUCUUAACGUGGAUUUUGGAGUGCUUUUUCUUUUUUUUACAAUGUGUGUUUUUUGACUCUUUGUGUUAGGUAGAUUUAUGUCAAGGAAGUAAAUUGUGAAUUCAUGGUAUUUUUGACUAUCUCCACCCCUGUUCACUGUGUGAUAUUGGAAAAUCAGAGGUUUUAACAUUCCUUGAAGUUUUAUUGGAAGCAACACUGCAUCAGGCAAACACAUCCACAGUGUAAGUUUUCUCUUUUUGGCAACUGUACUUGCUUUGAAUGAGCCGAAUGUCAGCUGGAUUUCACAGCAUAUCCGAUUUACAGUCUGUGUUUUAUCAAGGCCUUAAAUGUAUGUUUUAUACUCAGCAGAUGGGAAACACAUUGAGCACUGUGUUUGACAUGUAUGCCUAAGGAAAGGAGCUCCCCGAUGGAUCAUGGCGUUAAUGUUUACAGGACAUUUCUUAUUUUUACUGUUAGUGAUGUUUGCUUUCUCUACUUUUGAAGAAUCUGUGAGCAAUUACUCUGACUGGGCAGUUUUCCCAGAUGACAUAGAUCAGCUUAAGACACAGAAAGUGCAAGAUUUCAGACCCAACCAAAAGCUGAAGAAAACUAUGCUUCAUCCACAUUUAUAUUUUGAUGCUGGAGAGAUCCAAGCAAUGAGGCAAAAGUCUCGCACAAGCCAUUUGCAUCUUUUUAGAGCUAUCAGAAGUGCAGUGAUGGUUAUGCUGUCCAACCCAACAUACUACCUACCUCCACCCAAGCAUGCUGAUUUUGCUGCCAAGUGGAAUGAAAUUUAUGGUAACAAUCUGCCCCCUUUAGCACUGUACUGUUUGUUAUGCCCAGAAGACAAAGUUGCCUUUGAAUUUGUUUUGGAAUAUAUGGACAGGAUGGUGGGCUACAAAGACUGGCUGGUGGAGAAUGCACCAGGGGAUGAGGUUCCAGUUGGCCAUUCCUUAACAGGUUUUGCCACUGCCUUUGACUUUUUAUAUAACUUAUUAGAUGAUCAUCGAAGGCAAAAAUACCUAGAAAAAAUAUGGGUUAUUACUGAGGAAAUGUAUGAGUAUUCCAAGGUCCGCUCAUGGGGCAAACAACUUCUUCAUAACCACCAAGCUACUAAUAUGAUAGCGUUACUCACUGGGGCCUUGGUGACUGGGGUGGAUAAAGGAUCUAAAGUAAAUCUAUGGAAACAGGUUGUAGUAGAUGUGAUGGAAAAGAUGAUGUUUCUGUUGAAUCAUAUUGUCGAUGGUACUUUGGAUGAAGGUGUUGCCUAUGGAAGCUACACGGCUAAGUCAGUCACACAGUACGUUUUUCUGGCCCAGCGCCAUUUUAAUAUCAACAACUUGGAUAAUAACUGGUUAAAAAUGCACUUUUGGUUCUAUUACGCCACCCUCUUGCCAGGCUUCCAAAGAACUGUGGGUAUAGCAGAUUCCAAUUAUAAUUGGUUUUAUGGUCCCGAGAGCCAGUUAGUUUUUUUGGAUAAGUUCAUCUUAAAGAACGGAGCUGGCAAUUGGUUAGCUCAGCAAAUCAGAAGGCACCGGCCUAAAGAUGGACCGAUGGUCCCCUCCACUGCCCAGAGAUGGAGUACUCUUCACACUGAAUACAUCUGGUAUGAUCCCCAGCUCACCCCACGGCCUCCUGCGGAAUAUGGUACUGCAAAAAUGCACACGUUCCCUAACUGGGGUGUUGUCACUUAUGGGGCUGGGUUGCCAAACACACAGACCAAUACCUUUGUGUCUUUUAAAUCUGGGAAGCUAGGAGGGCGAGCUGUCUAUGACAUAGUUCACUUCCAGCCAUACUCCUGGAUUGAUGGGUGGAGAAGCUUUAACCCAGGACAUGAACAUCCAGAUCAGAACUCAUUCACUUUUGCCCCCAAUGGGCAGGUAUUUGUUUCCGAAGCUCUCUAUGGACCCAAGUUGAGCCACCUGAACAACGUACUGGUGUUUGCACCAUCACCCACAAGCCAAUGUAAUAAGCCCUGGGAAGGCCAGCUGGGAGAAUGUGCACAGUGGCUUAAGUGGACCGGCGAGGAGGUUGGUGAUGCAGCGGGGGAAAUCAUUACUGCCUCUCAACAUGGGGACAUGGUAUUUGUGAGUGGGGAAGCAGUGUCAGCUUAUUCCUCAGCAAUGAAGCUGAAAAGUGUGUAUCGGGCUUUGCUUCUCUUAAACUCUCAGACUCUGCUAGUUGUUGAUCAUGUCGAGAGGCAAGAAGAUUCCCCAAUAAAAUCUGUCAGUGCCUUCUUCCAUAAUCUGGAUAUUGAUUUUAAGUACAUCCCAUAUAGGUUCAUGAACAGGUAUAACGGCGCCAUGAUGGAUGUGUGGGAUGCACAUUACAAAAUGUUUUGGUUUGAUCAUCGUGGCAGUAGCCCCAUUGCUAGUAUACAGGAAGCAGAGCAAGCCGCUGAAUUUAAGAAACGGUGGACUCAAUUUGUUAAUGUUACAUUUCAGAUGGAAUCCACAAUCACAAGAAUCGUAUAUGUCUUUUAUGGGCCAUAUGUCAAUGUUUCCAGCUGCAGAUUUAUUGAUAAUUCCAAUUCUGGACUUCAGAUUUCUCUCAAUGUCAAUAAUACUGAACACGUUGUUUCCAUUGUAACUGACUACCACAACUUGAAAACAAGGUUCGAUUACCUGGGAUUUGGCGGCUUUGCCAGUGUGGCUGAUCAGGUCCAAAUAACCCGAUUUGGUUUGGGCACUCAAGCCAUAGUGAAGCCCGUAAGACGUGACAGAGUGAUUUUUCCCUUUGGAUUUAAAUUUAAUGUAGCAGUUGGGUUGAUUCUGUGCGUCAGCUUGGUGAUCUUAACUUUUCAGUGGCGGUUUUACCUUUCUUUUAGAAAGCUAAUGCGGUGGAUCCUCACCCUUGUUAUUGCCUUGUGGUUCGUUGAGCUGGUGGAUGUGUGGAGCACUUGCACUCAGCCCAUCUGUGCAAAGUGGGCGAGGCCAGAGGCCGAAGCGAGCCCAAAGCCUUUGUCUCCCCAAGGGCACCGCAUCGAUCUUCCUGACAUCGUCAUUACCUCACUUCCUGGCUCAGGAGCUGAAAUUCUCAAACAACUCUUCUUCAACAGCAGUGACUUUCUCUACAUCAGGGUUCCCACAGCCUACAUUGACAUCCCUGAAACUGACUUUGAGAUCGACUCCUUUGUGGAUGCCUGUGAAUGGAAGGCGUCGGAUGUCCAUGGUGUGCAUUUCCGUUUACUCCGAGGCUGGUUGCAGUCCUUGGUCCAAGACACAAAACUCCAUCUGCAAAACAUCCAUCUGCAUGAACCCAGCAGGGGUAAACUGGCCCAAUAUUUUACCACGAAUAAGGACAAAAAAAGGAAGUUGAAAAGGAGAGAGUCUUUGCCAGAACAAAGAAGCAGAAUGAAAGGCGCCUUUGAUAGAGACGCUGAAUACAUUCGGGCUCUGAGAAGACACCUGGUCCAUUACCCCAGCGCGCGGCCCGUGCUCAGCCUGAACAGUGGGAGCUGGACCUUAAAGCUGCAUUUCUUCCACGAAGUUUUAGGAGCUUCGAUGAGGGCCUUGUACGUGGUGAGGGACCCUCGGGCGUGGAUUUAUUCGAUGCUGUACAGUAGUAAACCAAGUCUUUACUCUUUGAAGAAUAUACCAGAGCACUUAGCUAAAUUGUUUAAAAUAGAGGGAGGUAAAGGCAAAUGUAACUUAAAUUCGGGCUAUGCUUCCGAGUAUGAAUCAUUGAGGAAAGAAUUAUCAAAAUCCAAGCCACACGCAGUGUCUCUGCUGGCUCACGUGUGGCUAGCAAACACUGCAGCAGCCUUGAGGAUAAACACAGACCUGCUGCCUACCAGCUACCAGAUGAUCAAGUUUGAAGAUAUUGUGCAUUUUCCUCAGAAAACCACUGAAAGGAUUUUUGCCUUUCUUGGAAUUCCUUUGUCUCCUGCUAGUUUAAACCAAAUAUUGUUUGCCACCUCCACGAACCUUUUCUAUCUUCCCUAUGAAGGGGAAAUAUCACCAACUAAUACGAAUGUUUGGAAACAGAACUUGCCUAGAGAUGAAAUUAAACUGAUUGAAAACAUCUGCUGGACACUGAUGGAUCGUCUAGGAUAUCCAAAGUUUAUGGACUAAAUGCUGCAGGUCAGCAGAAAUUUGCACUAAUAAUUUCCAACCCAGUUUGUGGAUAUGAAUUAGAAGAGUUUGUAUAUUCUUGUACUGUGUGUGUGUAUGUAUGUGUAUGUGUGUGUGUGUGUGUGUGUGUGGAGUGAGUGAUCAGCUUGCUCCUUGCACAGAGAGAUUGUUUAAAAUAAGCAACCUGUUUGGCCUAUAGCAGGAUUCAUUUUCAUGUCACCACUUUUCCUUGCCUUUGUUUCUGAAUUUUUUUCUGCUAAAAUGUUUUCUGCUGCAGAGGUGUAGAUGAAGUUAUAUUACAGUGGUCAGGGGAGAUAGGAAUAUUUUAAAGGUUUUUGUCUUAACUCUCUCCUUCAUCUGUAACUGUGCUGAUCUAUCUCGAACCUCACACACUGCUAAAGGCCUUGCAGUUGCUGCUAUACCCAAGCGUCUGUUGCUUUCAAGAUGGACUGCAAAAGUUCCUUAUCGUUUUCAGAAGGUGUCCUAAUGCAUUUAUCUUGAAUGCACACACACACACACACACACACACACACACACACAUACAUCCUUUUACUGUGUAUAAUGUUCACUGAUAUCACUGGGGAAAUGGAGAAAACUCCUAUCAGAAUUAUAGGAUCCCUUCUGGAAAAUAUAGAUGGAAAUACAGAAUGGAUUUUUUUUUCUUUUUUUUUUGAGAUCAGAAACAAUGACCUGAAAAUCCUCAAAGUUUUUUAUUUAGAAGUAAUGAAGAAUCAGUCUUGGAACGGUGGCUGCCAAGGACCGGUAUGGUAUUUUAGACCUGCUUGUCUUUUUAAAACGCUCUCUUUCUUGCUCCCUUGAAGCUGUAGCUGUUCACCAUCACCACUCCCACCCUUUUCUUUCUGUUGCUGUCACGCAAAACAGUCAGUAGUUACUAAUGGCUAAACUCCCACUAUUUGUGGGAAUUUUUUUUUUUUUUUCUGUCCUGAUGAUUCGUUUUGCAUCAAAGCCUGACAUAGCCUUAGAAUCAGAUUUCUCCUUGUGGAAUUAUCACUGUAUGACUCAAAGAAAGCAGUGCCACUGCUGCCAGUGUUUUUUUAGACUGGAAACAGAAUUGGAAAACUGCCUGACUUAUCUUGCAUCCCUUUGAAUGAGUCCACAGACUGCCAGUGUCGGCAAAAGUUGAAGGCGAAUGGGAGAUGAUGUCAGAGGCAUCUGUUUCCUUUACCAUCUGCAUCUUAUUAUAAAUAUAGUCGUCAUAAAGUAUGGUUCAUCUUAUUUUGGUAGGCUCUGAAAUCAAAAUGCUAUGCCAUUAGAAGCCAGAGGAGUAAUUACAAGGUAUUGGAUGAAAACUAUUAGGCAGUGUGGAGACCUGAUGAAAAUCUCUGUACAGACUGCAGCCUUCCUAAUGCUUCAGACUGUAGUUUCCACACGCCCUCCCCGUCGCCCAUGCUCUAACACUUGGGAGUCUGUCAUUCUGACCUAGGUAAAAGUGGUUCUUUCUCAGUAGUUUGUUAUUAUGUCAAAAUGUGCCUCCAGGGUGAUAAAGCUGUGGAUAUGUUACAUUCCAGCUAAAGCUAACUGGGCUGUCAUUUUUCUUCCAUUACAGCGUGAAAGCAGACUGACCACUCCCGCCCCCCAACCCCAUCUGCUUCCUCUCGUAGCUUUCCCUGCUUUCUCUUUACAGUGUCAAAAUGAAUGAAAAUCCUAUUAAUACAGGUUGAGAGGGCAACUGAAGACCUGAAUCCACACUAUUAUUCUCAAGGAAGAUUAUUCGUCCUAUCUCAGGGUUAUCAACAAGCAUGUAACAUUUCUACAUGGAUGAUAACACUGUUUCCAUUAUUGGUCAGAGUCUCGGUGUUUGUUUUCAAUUCCCAGGAUGUGUGAUCUUAAAUCAGAUCAAAUAAAAAGGCUCUGGGUUGCAGGUAAUAUUAGGCCUGAUCAAGGUAAGAAUUACAAACGUGUGCAAGUAACAGCAGAGAAGACAGAAACUGUACCACUGCCUUUCCUUUAACUUUGUACAGAAACAUGCCCACAGGCAGAAGAGAGCCAGGGUGAGUAUAUGGAGCAGCUUGGGGGGGAGAAAAUGGAAAAGAAAGAGCAGUUCUGUGAAUGGAUACGGGAACAAUAUGGGAAGAUCUUAUGUAUAGCUAAAGAAAGGAACACAUUUAAGAUGAUCUUCACAGUGUAUCUUAACUUUUACAACACAGCAAGGUCAAGGUGAAUUUCCUUGUCCACUCAUCCACUCCCACCCCAAGGGAAACUUAGCUGGAGGAGAAGACUUCUAUUCACAGGUUCUAUUUCUGAGCAAUGUUUUACACGGGUGAGGGACGGCCCAGCCGUUGCAUAUGCAUCCAUUUGUUCAUGCUUGGGAGCCCCUGCCUUAUAAUCUCAAUUAUAAUCUCAGAACGUCUAAGUCCUACAUUCCUAGGGUGUUAUCCUGGGAAGAAGUGUGAAUAGACUCUACACUUAUUUUCAUUCUGAUCGUCUUGAAAAUAAUUAAAACAACGAUUAUCACUGUGUGACACUUCCAAAGGAAACACUUUAAAAAAUGUCUUUUCCAUAAAAUCAAUUCCUUUCCUCAUUAACUUCCCCAAACUUAGGCCCAACUGGAAUUAAAGCUUCUAUUAAGAUAAUAUCAUUGAAAUGUUGAAAUUUUGAAAGAAUGUGUCCGUUUUGCUGACAAAAGUAACAUAAAUAUAGUGGUAAUGUUGAUCUAGUUUUCAAAAGUUUGAAAUAAUGCAAAUUACUCACUUAGGAUGAAAUAGGCCAUAUCCAGAGAUGAAUUUACUGUAAUGUCAAUUCCAGAAAGGAAGGAAAUGGGAGAAUCUGUUCAGGAGAAAGAAGAUAAAUCUAUGAUUAUACUUAAAUUUAAUCUUUAGAAACUCAGAAAGGCAUGAGUUUUAGGCAGGUGGCACAACAACUCAUACACACUCAGCCUAAACCCGCAAUAUUAGACAUUUGAUUGGCUGGCGCUUUGGACAAACAGAAGACUUAGCACUGUAAGUGGCCUGGCAAGAAUGGGAUCAUUAUUUAUGUCCAGUACCCAGCCAUGGCAUGGGAUCUGGCACAAAUAUCUUCAUAUUUGAAGAAAAACCUCUCUCCACACACACACUAGUUAUGUUUCAUUUUCUUUCCCUUUUGUGGAAACGCCACCCCUUCUGUCUGCCACUGACUUUUGAUUGGUGUCAUUUAUCAGCAGAGUUUGGUGCAUCAUAGAUCCUAGACGUUCUUGAUAUAAAGUCUAUCACAUUCAGUUACCUAUAAGUAAACAUUAACAGUGGUUUUAGAAUCUGUUUGAUUGACUUAACUCUGAUCAUAAUUACAAAAAAUCACUAAUUUAGCAAAAAAUGUGAAUAGAAGGCAGUAUGUUAUAACACCACUUACAGAGGUAAGGGAGCCUAAUCUAAGACAGAUCAAGGAAUUUAAUAUGCGGGCUGCCUACUGCUUAUUUAAAUGCAAACCAAAGUAUGUCAAAAUAGCUGCUAAGGCAGUGUUUUCAGUACUUGACUAAUAUCUCUAUUUCCCUUCACGUUGGCAGAAAAAUCCAAAUAAUAUUUUAAGAACUAAACUGAAUUUUUUUUUUUUUGCACAAAGGAUGGUAGGAACAUCAAACAGUAGAUUCUCACAUUCUCUAGUUAACUUGUAGCUGCUUUAGCUAUAAUUUACAUGAGCUUGUGUUUAGUCCAAGUAACAUGUUUAAUUCUAUUUCCAAAGAUAGGUUCGGCUAAGCCUUCCACACCAUGGGGGUUUUGCUUUUGUUUUUGAUUUUCGUUUUUCUUUCACACCUGUCCAGUUAUGCAGCAAAGAAAACCUGUACUGAAGAUCAUUUAUGAAGUUUAUUCAAGCUAUAUGUAUAACACAACUCCUCUAUUAAUAAACAAAUAAAAAGCUAAAAGCAACUUGGCUAUGGUUGGGAUAAUUUGUAACAGCCCUUUUCUUUAGGACUUUGGGUAAUUGUGUUAGGAUUUUGUACGGAGCUGAGUUGGAAAAUGCAGUCCCACAAUUUCGGCCACUAGCACCCUUAGUGAUGGGUGAGCCAUGCCUCUACUCCCUUAUCUUAAUUCCAAGUCCUGUCUUUGACUUGCCCUCAGUCCAUUUCACUCUUCUAUGUACAUCAUCCCAACUUACUAAGUGGCAAGAACAUCCCGUACUAUGCACCUGUGCUCCACAUUUGCCCCUUCUGCCACUGGUGGGGUAUCUAUUCAAGCAGGAGAUCUCUAAAAGGAAGGUACCUGCAGGCCCCUUGAGAUAUUCUAGUAGGUGGUGCACAGGGUUGGCAGAGUGAAGACUUUUUUUUUUUUUUAAGAAAGAUAAGGAUCUAUCAUGAAUUAGUCUCUUAGUAUGUGCUGCACAGAACUGUAAGGUUUUCAUGUAUAUCAUUACAAUCUUCACAACAACUCACUGGUAUUCAUUUUACAGAUUAAUCUGAAGCCCAUAUUCUCUCUCUAGGGAAUAUGUUUUUGUGAAGGAAUUUGGAGCAGGUUUACAAUUCUGUUAUCAAUUCACUUAUUCACAGUAAUUUUGGGGUAUCUACUGUCAAGAUAUUGAUUAGCAUGAGGGGAGAACACAAAAACUGGUUGACUCUGACCCUGCCCCAAAGAACUGAUGGUUUCUCCAGAAUUCAUCAAGAAGAGAAGGAGAGGAAGGGCAUGCCAGGUAGCCAUUACCACCCGAGGAAAGGCACCGCAAAGUGUUAUCUACUCUGUAGUAGACAGGAUUUAUCUCUGAAAAAGUGGUUACGAGGAAAGGGAGUAGUUAUGGAGUUUCAGUAAAUUUGGACAGAGGUCACCACCUGUGCUUUUCCUCAUUAGGUUUGACUCUAUAGUUGUCACAGGAUGUCCCAUCAACGAGUAGCCCUUGCAAAAGAGAAGCGCAAACAGAACAAAACCGCUGACACUUGCUCUUUCCCAAUUCCCCCACCCCCUCACUUAACUACCCCAGCACAUUUAUCACAAAGAAAUGUGGUCCAUAAUUGAAUAUCAAGGGAUGCCCUGAAGAGAAAAGGAUGUGUGAGUGCGGUCUGACUGGGCUGCAUGCAGAUCACUGCUAGUAAUAACACUACGAAGGAGGAUACCUCAGUGUAUUUCAUCCAGGCUCCAUUUGGCCAGUAGCAUCUCUUUUCCCUUCCCUCCCCUCUCAGCACCUCCAGAUUCACAUUACCAGGCACAGCUAACCGAUCCUGAGAAUGCAGCAGUGAACAAAACCUAUGGAGCUGACAGUCAAUCAAAUAUAUUUUAAAAGAAUUCGUUUUGGGAAAAAAAUCCCACCUGUUCUGUUCCCUACCAUGUAAAUAAUACCAAAAAGGAAGGAAGGGAAGGAGGGAGGGAAGGAAAGAAGGAACAAAGGAGCAAAGAAUGGAAGGAAGGAACUCUGAACCUAAAUUUGAACACAAAGUAAGGUGCACAAGGAGAAUCAUUCCUAUAACAAUUGUGUUCAUUAUGGUAUGAACUAUUUAAGAAUCUCUUUGAAACCUUAUUAUAGCUAAAACUUGAGAAAAAAAGGAUAAAUUGUAAUCUGAGCAAAUCUUUUCUACAGUACAUUGCAAUUGCUCUUUCUGUUUUAUUUCUUUAAACUACUUCUGUAUUGCUGUGACUCUUGAGAUGAAAUGUUUCUUUCAAGUGUCUUAACACUGAUGAAUUCCACCUAUAAGUGUCUCAGGUUUUCCAACGUCCUAGAUAAUGUGGUGUUUUCCCAUAUAUUGUCUUCCUCUCUAUUUCCAAACAUGGGUAUAUACCUUGCUCCUAAUGAUUUAAGGAAGCAAACGUUCACGCACAUGUGACACCCAUGAUGCUCUCCAUUUCUUCUUUUGGAAGUUAAUUCAGCUCCCAUCACUGUCACUUUUCUCAUUUAGUAAAUGAACAACAUAAAAUUUCUAAUCUCUGCAUUAAAAUCUGACAUCCUUCUAUGAACAACGCUGAAGGCACUUCUUACCUUAUUCAUUGCAUAAUGCAAAUGAUGCUCCCAACCUUUGUUAUACUACAGUGAAAUAUUACUGCCCAAUUUUAUUAGUAUUUAUUAUUUUAAUUAUGUAUUCAGUUAUUCCAUUGCUUGUUUCAAAAGAUUAAUUUUGUUGUAGAUUUGUUUAAAGUUCUUGGGAUUUUAAAAUAAGAACACAGUACAACCAAGAAGUGAUGAAACUGCUUCCAUAAAAUACCCAUGAAAAGACAACUGCAUAUAAAUAAUGCAGUUAAUAAAAGUUAACCCUACACAAACAAAAUAGGUGAUUUUUGCUCUUCAUUUUUACUCCAGACAUUAACGUGGGUGCCCUGGCUAAUUCAGUGCUAACUAGAGCACAGCACGCUUGCGGUGGGCUUUCGUGCGCCAAGGAACUCGUGUUAUUUCUCUCGAGAUUUACCAAAAUGAAAUGUACAUAUAUUCAGUUAUACUUUAUCUUUCACCCCACAUUAAUUAUAAAACUCUCAAAACUCCCAUUAUUGAACGCAUGAGUAAAAAGGUAUUUGCUUGUAUCCACACAUAAGAACUUGGCAGGAUUCCAUUAUGAUAGGAGGUGGAAGGUUUUCUGUGUAUAAACAACAGAUUGCACUGGUGGGUUUUUCACAAGGUUUGUUUGCAUCUUUCUCCCAUUUCCUUGAUUAAUUUGAAGAGGGAGAUUUCUAUUAAAAAUGUUAUAUUCACAACACUUUUAUAUAUUAUAUGAACUUUGAAAUUAGAUAAAACUGAAUACAAAUCCCUAGGUCAGUAAAUAAUGACCAGCUGUGACGUGUUGGGCAAUUUUCUUAAUUUUAAAUCUCCAUUUCCCCAAUAAAACUCCCCCAGAGUUGAUAUAAGGAUUAAAUAAAAUCACACGUGAAAAUUAAUAGAAGAUACGUGUUUCCUCUUUGUGAUCAUCUCCAAUUCAUUAUAUAUCAAACCCAUAUGUAAUGUGAUGCACCAUUUUCCCAGUAAGAAAAUAUAAAAAUGUUUCCAGAGAAUUUGAGCAUACAUAGUAUGUAGACCAAAUAGACACCUAUUUUAGUAUUCCAUAUAUCAGCUGAGUUGCACAAACAUGUAAAAUCACACUUAUGCAAUUCAUAUAUUAAUUUGGAAAUAGUGCUUUUUUCAUGUUCACGUUUUAAGAGAAAAAUUUAUUCAAAUUUUCAUGUACUUCAAUGUCUUCAUUAUUUCUAGAGUAUGGUUUGAGUUCUUCCAGAGAAUAUCGUAUUUCCUUCUGAGUUUUAUUGAGAUAGAGACUUUUUUUUUUUUUUUUUUUUUUUUUGCGGUACGCGGGCCUCUCACUGUUGUGGCCUCUCCCGUUGCGGAGCACAGGCUCCGGACGCGCAGGCUCAGCGGCGUGGCUCACAGGCCCAGCCGCUCCGCGGCGUGUGGGAUCUUCCCGGACCGGGGCACGAACCCGUGUCCCCUGCAUCGGCAGGCGGACUCUCAACCACUGCACCACCUGGGAAGCCCGAGAUAGAGACUUUUUUGAAUUUAAAUAACAACUGAGCAGCAAACUCCACAGCCUCCAGCCAGAAACUCAGCCUUCCAGCAAGGAGUGCAAGAGAGCAUGCACCUCUGCAUUGGGACCAGGUGCCACAGAUCUAUGAUAGUAGGGUUCAUACCACUGAAGAGAGAAAUUCCUUUUCUUUCUUUCAUUGGUUUUCCUUGGAUAUUGCUGUCCACAUCCCUGCUGAGGUUCACUGUAUGCAAAUUAGAAGACACUAUUUUGCUGAUUCUUGCAUAUGCCAGCUCUACUGCCCCCUACUUAUCAAACUGUAGGUAUUAUGGAUAAGCAAGAUAAGUUAUGCCAAUAUGUUGACACUGAAAAGAUGUGCUGACCCUAUCAGAAGCCCCCCUCUAUGAUAUUGAUAAGUAACUGUGGCCAGAGCUGGGGCUUAGAGUCAGAAUUCCUAUACUCACACACUCUAUAAUAUGGUACAAAGCAUAUAUAUCUGACCUUCCAUUACCGUAUUCUCCUGCUCUCACCAGCGAUCCCAGAGGUAACGUCUAUCCUGGAUUUUGUGUUUACCAUCCCCUUGCUCUUCUUUAUAGCUCCACCACAUAUGUCUCUAUCCUUAUCAACAUAUUGUAUAUUUUUGCAUGUUUGUAUACUUUACGUAAACAGUAACAUAUUGCAUAUAUUCUUGUGCAACUUGCUUUUCUUUGCUCAAAAUUUUAUCUAAUGCAUGUUGAUGUUUGUAGGUGGAGAUCACUUAUUUUCAUCGUGGUAGGUUCCAAUAUAUGCUAUUAUCUGAAAUACCAUACUUUAUGUAUCUUUCAUCUUGUUGGAUUUUGGGAAUAUUUUUAAUUUUUGCAAUUUCAAACAUUAUAUAUAAAACUGUUUAUAGAUGCUGUAUAAUGCACACAUACAAGAAUUUUGUCAUUGUGUUUUGUUUGUACCCAGAACCUUCCCACCCAGCCGCACUACAGCCUAGUAUAUAUAUUGAGGGCUCAAAGCACAUCCUCAACUAUUCUUGGUACCAAAUUAUUAUUUUUACAGAUUGUUUGUACAAAUCGACACUCUAGCCAUUGUAGAAAAGUUUGUGUUGCUCCAAAAUUUCUCCUGUACUUGACAUUUUCAUACUUUUAGAUGUUUUUCUGUCUAGUGGGGUAAAAGAAUGUUACAUUUCUUUUUUUUUUGAAGUUCUGUUAAUAACAUGGCACACACAUGCAGCAUGCGCACUCAUGCGCACACGUGCACACACACACAGUAGUCCUUACUUUUUCCAUUUGUGUUUCUUCUUUUGUGAAAUGGAAUCCAUGUUCAUGUCUUUUAUACAUUUUUCCAUUGCAUUCUUUUUUUUCUCAUUGAUUCAUUGACAUUUAUAGUAUAUUAAUAAUACUAAUCCUUUUUUGGUUAUACUCCUGAAUAACUUCUUGGUUUAUAUUUUCAUGAUCUUUCUACUAGGACUUUUGUGAUAUAUUUUGACACGCAGGUGUUCUUAAUUUGAAUGUAAACAAAUAUGUGUUUUUCUUUAUUACUUGUACUUUUUUGCAUCUUAUUAAAUAAUCUUUCUUAAGGUCUUGGCACUGAAGAUGUUCUCCUCUAUCUUCUUCCAAGCAUUUUAAUUUUCUCAUCAUCAUCUAUUGCCGCAAAACAAUAUUACCACGAAUGUAAUGGCUUAGAACAGCACAUGUUCAUCAUCUCACAAUUUCUGUGGGUCAGGAAUCCAGGCGUGGCUGAACUGCGUCCUCUGCUCUUAUAUGUGGCUGCAGUGAAGUAGCUGGGUCUGGGAUCUCCUCUGAGAAGCAUCCACUUCCAAGCUCACGUGGUUGUUGGCAAGAUGUAGUUCUUUGUGGGUUGCUGGACUAAAAGCCUCAGUUCUUUUCUGGCUGUUGGCUGGAGACCCUGAGUCACUUGCCAUGUGAGCUUCUCCAUUGGCAGGUAACUUCAUAAAAGCCAAGAUGAGAGAAUCAAUAGAGAAACUGCUAACACAUUACCAUAAUCAUGGAAGUGACACCCAGUCAACUUCGGUGAGAAGCAAGUCAGAGGUCCCCCUACGCCCACACCCAAAGGAAAGGGACUUCACGAGGGCAUGAAUCCCAGGAGAUGGAAGAACGGGCUUAUUUUAGAGUGUCCCUGCCACAGAUUUUGUCUUUUAUAUUUAAAUAUUUAAUCUGCUUUAUAUUGUUAUGUCUAUUCUGAGAUUUUUUUCUCUGUAUAAAUAACCUGCUGUCCUAGACUGAAGAGAUUCAGUACCUUUUCUUUUCCACUAAUCUUCAAUGCCGUCUUCCCUACGUAUCAGGUCCUUAUAUUUUGUGUGAGCUGAUUUCUCAGUUCUCUACUGUAUUCUUCUGGCAAAUUUGAUUACCCAGUGACAACACCGCACUAUCUUAAUUACUAUAGUCAUUUUGUUAGCCUUGAAAUCUGGCAAGGCUUUUUCCUUUCUUUUUCUUCAUUUCUUUAGGCUUUGUUCUUCUAUGUGCAUUUUAGAAUUAGUUUGCGUAGUCCCCCAAAGCAAGCAACAAUACAUGUUAAUGGUAAAUGCAUUACAUCAAUUGUGGGAGAAUCGACCUCUUUACAUUAAUCCCCGUUCAUCAGCAUGGUAUAUCUCUCCUUUUAUACAAUAUUUCUUAAUCCUUUGAUAGAUUUAAGUAUGAGCACUUUAUAUAUUGUUAUUACAGUGGAUAUUUAUUUUUAAUUAUAUGUUCUAACUGAUGAUAGUAUAUAGAAAAUACGAUUGAUUUUUGUGUAUUUAUAUUGUAUCAGGGAACUUAUAAAUCCUCUUACUAAUUUAAUAAUUUACCUGUAAAUUUUUUCAAAAUACUUAUACAGAUGCUUUUAUAAUCUUCAAGUAAUGAGAAUAUAUUUCCUUCCUUUUAAUCUUAUAACUUUCUAAUGUUCUUACUGGAUUUGUUAGGACAUCCUGUUAAAUACUGAGUGAGUCUGGUAAUGUGAAUAUUCUUGUACUGUUCCUAAUGUGAAUGGAGUGCUUCUACAUUUCACCACUGAGCAAAUGAAUGGAUGCCGUGUGUAUUUCAAAGACUCACUUUAUCAGGACGUUGUAUUCCCUUGUACUCCCAGUUGAUAAGUGACUUUUUAUCAUCAAAGCAUGAUGAGAUUUAUUCAAUGCUUUUGCUGCAUUUAUUGUGAUAAUCAUGUUUCUUUGCCUUUAUCUGUUAAGGUAGUGUAUUUUGUGAAAUUUUUUUUCUUUUGAGAUUAAACCAAACUUGGCUUGCUGUGAUAAAACCAGCCUGGGAAUGAUUCAUUAAAUUUAUAUUUGUUGCUGGAUUGAGUUUGCUAAUAAUUAAUUUAAGAUGUUUAUAUCAACAUUUGUAAUUGUGAUUUUUCUCAUAAUAAACUCGUCUAAUUUUGAAGUCAACAUACUUGUCACAUAAAGUAAGUUGAGGAUGUUCUAUUUUUAUAUUUUAUAGGUGAGUUUGCAUAGGAUUGAAAAUGAUCUAAUACAAGAAUGUUUGUUAAAACUCAUUUGUAAAUCA